rnacentral:rRNA from 1 species
CCUACGGGAGGCAGCAGUGGGGAAUCUUGCACAGUGGAGGAAACUCUGAUGCAGCGAUGCCGCGUGAGUGAAGAAGGCCUUUGGGUUGUAAAGCUCUUUUGUAGGGGAAGAUAAUGACUGUACCCUAAGAAUAAGGUCCGGCUAACUUCGUGCCAGCAGCCGCGGUAAUACGAAGGGACCUAGCGUAGUUCGGAAUUACUGGGCGUAAAGCGCGCGUAGGCCGUUGAGUUAGUUAAUUGUGAAAUCCCAAAGCUUAACUUUGGAACUGCAAUUAAAACUGCUCGACUAGAGUUUGAUAGAGGAAAGCGGAAUACAUAGUGUAGAGGUGAAAUUCGUAGAUAUUAUGUAGAACACCAGUUGCGAAGGCGGCUUUCUGGAUCAACACUGACGCUGAGGCGCGAAAGUAUGGGUAGCAAAGAGGAUUAGAUACCCUCGUAGUCCAUACCAUAAACGAUGAUUGCUAGAUGUUGGAAAUUUAUUUUCAGUAUCGCAGCUAACGCAUUAAGCAAUCCGCCUGGGGAGUACGACCGCAAGGUUAAAACUUAAAUGAAUUGACGG